rnacentral:piRNA from 1 species
AAGAAUGUAACACUUUGAGGGUG